rnacentral:rRNA from 1 species
CCUACGGGAUGCAGCAGUGGGGAAUAUUGCACAAUGGGCGCAAGCCUGAUGCAGCCAUGCCGCGUGUAUGAAGAAGGCCUUCGGGUUGUAAAGUACUUUCAGCGAGGAGGAAGGCGUUAAGGUUAAUAACCUUAGCGAUUGACGUUACUCGCAGAAGAAGCACCGGCUAACUCCGUGCCAGCAGCCGCGGUAAUACGGAGGGUGCAAGCGUUAAUCGGAAUUACUGGGCGUAAAGCGCACGCAGGCGGUCUGUCAAGUCGGAUGUGAAAUCCCCGGGCUCAACCUGGGAACUGCAUUCGAAGCUGGCAGGCUAGAGUCUUGUAGAGGGGGGUAGAAUUCCAGGUGUAGCGGUGAAAUGCGUAGAGAUGUGGAGGAACACCAGUGGCGAAGGCGGCUCUCUGGUCUGUAACUGACGCUGAGGCGCGAAAGCGUGGGGAGCGAACAGGAUUAGAUACCCGGGUAGUC